UACGAAGGGGGCUAGCGUUGUUCGGAUUUACUGGGCGUAAAGCGCACGUAGGCGGAUCUUUAAGUCAGAGGUGAAAUCCCAAGGCUCAACCUUGGAACUGCCUUUGAUACUGGGGAUCUUGAGUCCGGGAGAGGUGAGUGGAACUGCGAGUGUAGAGGUGAAAUUCGUAGAUAUUCGCAAGAACACCAGUGGCGAAGGCGGCUCACUGGCCCGGUACUGACGCUGAGGAGCGAAAGCCAGGGGAGCAAACGGG
rnacentral:rRNA from 1 species